GCAUAUCAAUAAGCGGAGGAAAAGAAACCAACAGGGAUUGCCUCAGUAACGGCGAGUGAAGCGGCAAGAGCUCAAAUUUGAAAGCUGGCUCCUUCGGGGUCCGCAUUGUAAUUUGCAGAGGAUGCUUCGGGAGCAGCCCCCAUCUAAGUGCCCUGGAACGGGCCGUCAUAGAGGGUGAAAAUCCCGUAUGGGAUGGGGUGUCUGCGCCCAUGUGAAGCUCCUUCGACGAGUCGAGUUGUUUGGGAAUGCAGCUCUAAAUGGGUGGUAAAUUUCAUCUAAAGCUAAAUAUUGGCCGGAGACCGAUAGCGCACAAGUAGAGUGAUCGAAAGAUGAAAAGCACUUUGAAAAGAGAGUUAAAAAGCACGUGAAAUUGUUGAAAGGGAAGCGCUUGCGAUCAGACUCGCCUUGGGGGUUCAGCCGGCAUUCGUGCCGGUGUACUUCCCCCAGGGCGGGCCAGCGUCGGUUUGGGUGGCCGGUCAAAGGCCCUUGGAAUGUAACGCCUCUCGGGGCGUCUUAUAGCCAAGGGUGCCAUGCGGCCUACCUGGACCGAGGAACGCGCUUCGGCUCGGACGCUGGCAUAAUGGUCGUAAGCGACCCGUCUUGAAACACGGACCAAGGAGUCUAACAUCUACGCGAGUGUUCGGGUGUCAAACCCGUGCGCGCAGUGAAAGCGAACGGAGGUGGGAACCCUUUGGGUGCACCAUCGACCGAUCCUGAUGUCUUCGGAUGGAUUUGAGUAAGAGCGUAGCUGUUGGGACCCGAAAGAUGGUGAACUAUGCCUGAAUAGGGCGAAGCCAGAGGAAACUCUGGUGGAGGCUCGCAGCGGUUCUGACGUGCAAAUCGAUCGUCGAAUUUGGGUAUAGGGCGAAAGACUAAUCGAACCAUCUAGUAGCUGGUUCCUGCGA
rnacentral:rRNA from 1 species